CAGUAGCCGCGGUAAUGCGUAGGGUGCGAGCGUUAAUCGGAAUUACUGGGCGUAAAGCGAGCGCAGACGGUUUAACAAGUUAGUGGUGAAAGGCAUAGGCUCAACCAAUGUAAGCCAUUAAAACUGUUUAACUUGAGUGCAGGAGAGGAAAGUGGAAUUCCUAGUGUAGCGGUGAAAUGCGUAGAUAUUAGGAGGAAUACCAGUGGCGAAGGCGACUUUCUGGACUGCAACUGACACUGAGGCACGAAAGCGUGGGGAGCAAACAGGAUUAGAGACCCCGGUAGUCCCUGUCUCUUAUACA
rnacentral:rRNA from 1 species